rnacentral:snRNA from 1 species
AUACUUACCUGGCAGGACAAGUACAACGGUGGUUACAAAGAUGAUUUCCCCAGGGCGAGGCUUAUCCAUUGCACUGCAGAUGUGCUGCCCCCUGCUAUUUCCCCAAAUGUGGUUACAAUCACAGUUCUUC